rnacentral:rRNA from 1 species
ACCUAAUAGAUACCCGGGUAGUCCACGCCCUAAACGAUGUCGACUGGGUGUUGGGGAAGCGAUUCCCCAGUACCGUAGCUAAACGCGUGAAAGUCGACCGCCUGGGGAGUACGGCCGCAAGGUUAAAACUCAAAGGAAUUGACGGGGACCCGCACAAGCGGUGGAUGAUGUGGAUUAAUUCGAUGCAACGCGAACAACCUUACCUACCCUUGACAUGUCCGAGAGCCCGCUGAGAGGUGGGUGUGCCCGAAAGGGAAUCGGAACACAGGUGCUGCAUGGCUGUCGUCAGCUCGUGUCGUGAGAUGUUGGGUUAAGUCCCGCAACGAGCGCAACCCUUGUCCCUAGUUGCUACGCAAGGGCACUCUAGGGAGACUGCCGGUGACAAACCGGAGGAAGGUGGGGAUGACGUCAAGUCCUCAUGGCCCUUAUGGGUAGGGCUUCACACGUCAUACAAUGGCCGGUACAGAGGGUUGCCAAGCCGCGAGGUGGAGCCAAUCCCAGAAAGCCGGUCGUAGUCCGGAUUGCAGUCUGCAACUCGACUGCAUGAA